GCAGACACACUCUGUUCUUUGCUGCUGACUCCAGCUCAGGACUUUUUAUGUCUGCUACAUGAACAUGCAGAGUGGAGCACCCGACUGGAUUGCGUCAAAUCCUGUCUCACUUUGCUCUGCUACAACAAA